GGGGGAUCCUGGUAUUGUAGCAGUAUAGCUCGAUCAGGAUAGAUGCCUUCUAAAAAUAUGAGCAACAUGUGGUCUUAGUUAUAUCGGAGCAAACUGGAGGAUCUGGACUUCUAUCUGCAGUAUAUGCAAGUACUAAGUACAAGGAGCGAAGAGUGCUUUGAUUUGAGAUCUCCAGAUUGGUGUCACAGGGCCUGUCGUUUCUUGUAACCGGGGAUUUCAAUCGUAUGAUGGGGUCCCAUG
rnacentral:lncRNA from 1 species